CGUCUCCCGAUUCGCCGGUUACUGUAGCAGCACGAUCCCGAGCGCCCCAUCUCCCCUCCUCUCGCAUCCGCCAUCGCCUCCUCCCCUCUCAUGUCGCCUCCUCUCGCCUCCGCCCCUCUCCUCUCUCUCUCCCGUCUCCUCCCUCUCAACCCUAGCCGCCACCACCCACUCUCUACUACUCCACCACGCACCCACCUCCCCUCUGGAUCAGGUGCAGGCCGGCCGGUGCGCGCAGGCGGUGGCGCUCCACUCGAGGGCAAAGGGAGGCCACGGCGGCAGUGGCCGCCGUGGACACCCAUCUCUCUCCCCCGAACCCCGCCACAGGAGGCCCGUCCAGAGCUCGCCUCGCCGCUCCUCCAGUGACCCUCGUUGUGCCUGGAUCCGGGCGGAUCCGACGAUUCCCCGACGCGCAGGCGGGCGGAUCCGACGAUUCCUCAACGCGCAGGCGGGCCGGCACGCAGCGCUAGGCAGAGGAGCCUUCCCAUGGUGCCCGCGGCUCUGGAGAUGAGGGUUGCACAGAGGAAGAGGAGCAGCAUCUCUCCCCUUCGCCAUCUCCAGCUGCCGCCACCAUCUCUCCCCUCUGCCCUCUCUAGCUGCCUUCCUCACUAGCCUUAUCUUCGAGCCGUCAGCUGACGUAGCCGACAGGGGAGCCGAUGAACUUGGCCACCGUGUGCUGCUCCAUGGGCCACCGUGUGAUGCUCCAUGAACUCACUCACAUCCAGCCAGACCAUGGCCUCCUCUGAGCCGUAGUAGCUGGUUGCCAGCGCCUUGGCAAGCUCCGACUUGCCCACGCCCGUCGGGCUGGCGAAAUUGAAGCUGGCCACCGGCCGGUUGGGGUUCCUGAGCCCAACGUGCGGACGGCGGAUGGCGCGGCCUAUGGCCCUGACGGCCUCGUCCUGGCCGGUGACGCGCCCUUGCAGGGUCUCCUCCAUCCUGAACGAUCAGUUGGACUCGUCCAUGGAGACCUUCUCCACGGGGACGCUGGUCCACGAUGCGACGAUGUGCUGGAUGUCCGCCUUCGUCACCAUUGGGCCAGCCGACGCUCCCGACUCCAUCUCUGCCUUGCUCACCUCAUUGCUCUUGUCCACCAGCGACAUGAUCUUGGUUUUGAUCUCCAGCCUUUGGCUGCGAAGCUCUCUGGCCUAUAACCAUUCAGAUAAUUAGCGUCCUCCUAUAAGGUGUGCAUUUCAGGUUGACCUAUAGACGAGAAGAUUACGGUCUCAAAUUGCUGGGAGCAGAUGUCGUCGUUCUUCUGUCUGGUGAUUUCCUUAAGCUUCUUGUCGAGGUCUUUAGCUUCCUCAGGUAGCUGUCAGCAUAGUUCAAAAUUCAGAUUCAGACAUCUUGUAAAUUCAGAUUCAGACAUUUUUGAAAAUGUUUAGGUGCAUCACCAUUCAAAAACAUCUGUAGUACCUUGGCAUGGCGUAGCCUGACAAGAGAUCCCGCCUCAUCAACCAGGUCGAUUGCUUUGUCUGGGAGGAAACGAUCACUGCGAACAAAAUAGACCGUCAGGAAACUUCAUUAUACGCUGGGAACUACUCCUAUCCAACACUGAAAUUUGCAAGCGAAUCUGACCUACUACUCAGUAUGUGAUAGUACAGGUGCUCCAUAUCCAACACUGAUGGUGUUUUCCAUACUGCAGAAUACAUGCUUGCACAAGUAUAUUACACUUAUCAUAAGUUUCUGUAAAUUUGUGCUUACUCCGUUUAUUUUUUAAUUUGAUACACAUGCAUUCAACUUAAUCUACCCAUGACUGUAUUUUUUUCUGUGCACUACUCUGAUAAAACUUCUCUAUUGUUUUGGUUUUGCGCUUUGCUUUCUUUUUCUGAAAAUUGGUAGUUGGAACUGUCAAAACUGGGUGCUUUUUGCAGCUCUCUUUCCUACUUCUAGCGCUGAAAUUACGCCUUACUAACUGGCCUACAUGUUCCUUGUAUAUAACUGACUUUUCUGUUUCCUGAGGACAAGAGCACCAUACCGAAAAUUGGUAGUUGUUGUCUUUCAUGAUAAGGUAUGUACACAUUCAUAAGCUCGUGUGUUUGUGCGGUCAGGUUGGCUGCCGAUAUGUUUUGGGGUUCGCCUGCUCCCUGUAUUGACAACCAUAGAAAAAUAUAGCAAGAGUAAAAUUAGGCUUGUUGUUUGAGAUGGUUCCUUUACACGAUAAAUAAAUUGGAGUAAUUUCAAACUCUUAAGGCCCUUGACCGGUUAGAGAAAGACGGGUUGAACUGAAUUAUAGAUAUGUAGUGUUAUCUAAUCUUAUGGUGCUUUUAACUUUGACCUUGCAACUGAACCUGCAGACUAAUUAUUUUUUGGGAUGUGUAAACCUGAAUGUUGGAAACUAAAUUUGUUGCCCUGGGUUCAGUGGUGUUCAAGUGCGACAGGACCAUAUUGUGACCAUAUUAUGACAGGUUCAUAAACAUGAAAGCAUGAAACUAACUGUGUUACCUGGGUGGUCCUAUACAUUGAGAUUAGGUAUCUUAAGCAUCACUCUUUAUUUCGGUGCAAGAGGACCAUACAGUGACAUGAUGUUUUAUCUUUGCUCCUGGGCAUACCGCUACUUUGUUGAUAUAUCUGAAGGCGUCUGAAUCUGGUUCUUUUCAGGCAUAUUUUUUUAUAUUUAUCAAUGCAUUAUACAAAGUGAAAUUGUCCCUAAUUAUUCUCUGUUGCAGUUCUAUGGUUUCUUUGUUUAGUUUGGAUAGACAGUAUUAUCUUUAGUAUUAACUAUGUUCCCUGGGUGGUCCUCCCCGAGUGUUUCUUGCUCGGUUGGCCGCUUCAGGCUUCACAUACAUGUGUGUUGCAAGCUCUCAGGUUUGGAGAAUAAUUGUAGGAUUAGGUAAUUUGAGAGACUAAUUAUGAGCGUUAAAAAGGUCACACAGUCGGCAACAGUGGUUAUAUCAGCUUGAAAAAAGCAGUGUUGCUUGACGUUGAUGGCUUGACCUUUUGGGCCUCUCUCCUUGGGCUCCUGAUUUCUCAGCGAGGAUCAUCUUGCCAGUGCGUUUUGCCCUCCUAUCCCCUCCAUUUGGUUAUGGCUUUGCAUCACUACCGAAAGCUCAAUGGUUCAAGCCUGGGGUGAAAUACAUCUUCUCUUGAUUUCUUAUUUCUGUUGAAUAUCUUGUCAUGUUCAAGUCUUAAUAUUAUUUCCCCUAUUUUUACAGCAGGUGAUGGCAUAAUUUAAGGAAUGGCAUUAUGGUAGGACGCAUGUGGUAUUUGAUUACAAUGGUGUCUCACGGGGUUACAAAAGUUGUGUUCUUACAGAUUUGAGAUGAAAGAUUCAAUUUUUUGUGGGUAUUCAAAAUAGGAAGGUACAAAGGCUAAGGUGAAGAAUGAUUUUAGUAAGGAAGUUCAACCUGGGAGAGGUCCACAUAACUACUCAAAUAUACACUUACUGAAAAAAUGCAAAUAUUCUCAACACGAACAUGGUUUUAAACGGGUCUUUGCGCCAUUUGGCGCAACUCGUCAUCUAGUAUAUAUUAAAUAUUGAUAUUCCAAUAGGUGCAUCAUAUUCUUAUUCUUAUGAACAUUAGAAACUAGUUAGGCAACAUCAUAUUCUUAUGAACAUUAGAAACAUUACGAAGAAAUGGAAGUACCAGAUAAUUUAACUAGUGUGCAUGAGCUCUAGUAAUUAUUCCAAUAGGUGCAGUAGCAAGGGUUGUGGGUUUAA